rnacentral:RNase_P_RNA from 1 species
GAGCAAAUGAUCGCGGCCCGUUUUUACGGGGUGAGGAAAGUCCGGGCUUCACAGGGCAGGAUGCCGGAUAACGUCCGGUAGAGGCGACUCUAAGGAUAGUGCAACAGAAAUAUACCGCCCCGCUUUCAAAAGCGGAAAGCUGUUUUACAGCUUUGGAGUAUCUGCAUGCAGAUGCUCCGGUAAGGGUGGAAGGGCAGUGUAAGAGACUACCGCCUCUCUGGUAACAGGGAGGGCAUAUGUAAACCCCAUCCGAAGCAAGACCGAAUCAAAGCGCAUACGUGGCCCGCCAGCUUUAGGUAGGUCGCUUGAGGUGGCUGGCAACAGUCAUCCUAGAUAGAUGAUCAUUCCCCUGUCUCUGACAGGGCGACAUAACCCGGCUUAUCGCUCUGCUUAU